AAAAACAAGUUUUUACAACUUCAUUUCACGAAUUUCUUUAUUCUCCACUCAACGUCAAAGCUGAAAAGUGACAAACAGUGCUUUAUGCACACAAAGUUCAUGAGUAGUGCACUAAAUUUCAAAGGGCAAAUAUCAACAUUAAUCUGACAAGCUAAAAUACCUCAUAAAAAUAAAUGAAGUAAAUAAUAAUGGAAUCUAAAAUGCGUGAGCAAUCUCAAGAUGAAAAAUGGCCCAGCAUAAACUAUUAUUUUAGGAUCCUGAAUAGCUUAUUGUACAUUUAUUUUUAGUAUUAAAGUUGUGACCAAAAACUUUUUUAUGAUAUUGCUAUCAGGGAAUUAAUAACAUAUAACAUAGACACUAAAUAUUUCUUACAUGCUUCGUCUGCAUUUAAAUUUUGUUCUGAGGAAAGUGAUUUGAUCCAUCAUCUGUCAAAAUUGACAGGGGAGACCCAUGUUUAAUUUUUUGAAUGUCUUCCUUUAUCCUAUUAGUUACUACAUAAAUGCAUGUUGGGUAAUACAGUGACUAUCAGACCUUCAGCUAAUUCAGGCAUGAAGUCCCAACUGUCCCUGGGAAAACAGAACUAAAAAUGGAGGCAUCACUCCUAAGUGAGCAGUGAAGCUUAAGCAAAGACAAGAAGGAUACAUAACUGUGUAUGAGAGUUGGCUAAUGGCAUCAGAAGACUGAGAUAACACUGAAGCAGACUUUGUACCCAGAUGUCUAAUCAGCUGGGUGGGUGACAUUGAUGGGCAUUCCAAAGGUCCAGUCUCAGAAUCAGGGAUGUAGCAGACACAGGCUCCCACAGGAGGCAUUUGGCCCUGGAAUGACAGACUCAACACAAUAGAAAGGAGACAGAGCUCUGAACCUGGAAGGGAGGCUACAGUUCCAUGCAGGCAGGUCAUUAGAGCUAAAAAAUGAAAAAAAAUUCCUAUCUACCACUAGCACACACUUGUUAGAAGCUACAUAGGCAUCAAAAUCUCAUUUAAGGAUGAGAGAUUGUUAAUGCGGUUAUCUCAAAAGUAAUUCACAAAAUACAAAGGAACCCAACAAUUUUAUAGGCACAAAAGUGUGUGGGUCACAAGAAUAUCUUGUUCAAAAUGUCACCAGAUGAAAUGAUGCAGAUUUGUUUCUUUUAAUAGUUUUAACUAGGGAAUAACACAGUAAAAUAUAUGAAGCGUACUUCUGUAAAUCGUGCAGCUUGGAUAAAUUUGAGCACACAUACACAGCUGUGAAAACACCACAUGAAUCAAAAUACAGAACAUGUCCAGCACUCUCAAGCUCCCUCUUGAUUUCGUUUCUUCCAGUCACUGACUCUAGUCUCCAUAGGAGUUAACCACUAUUUCGACCUCUAACUCUCAGCAGAUGGAUUUUGCCUGCUCCUGACCUCAUACAAAUGGCUUUAUACAAUUGUUGCUCAUUCAUGGAUGGCUUCUUUUGAUCAGCAUGAUGUCUUAGAAUUGUGUCCAUCCAUGGUUUAAUCUUUCUUAUUUAUAAUGUUCCAUUGUUUAUGAAUAAACCACUUUAUUUUUAUUCUCCUUUUGAUGGGGAAAUUUUAUUUCAUUGUUUUUUUCCUUUGCUACGGCAUUAGGGAUUGAAGCCUCUGUGAGCCUUCUUAUACGUGUCCUUUGCAGACUUUUACAGUUCUUUCUGCUGCAUGCACACAGGAAGAGAGUCUCUGGAACAUUGGAUAAACCCACUUUCAACGUAAUGCCUACCGCCUAAAGGGCUCGGGCACACCAGCUUCUGCCCUUAUCUGCAAACUAUCAGAGCUGCAGAUCCUCCACACUUUUCAAUUCUUUGUAUCGACAACUUUGCUUUGGUUGGAUAGCUUGUUCCAAGUGUAGCCGUUCUCACGGAUCUGUAAAGAUAAUGCAUUCUGACAUUAAAGUGCACGUCCUUUGUAAGUAACGCUGUUGAGCUCCUUUCAAUGCUUGCUGGACACUUGGAUAUUAUAUUCUUCUUUGAAUUAUCUGGUCUGAUGUUUUGUCCAUUUUUUAUAUUUUUCAAAUCUUUUUCUUAUUGAUUGGUAGAAAUUAUUUAAAUAUUCAGAAUACAAGACUUCUGUCAGAAACGUUUGACGAAAGUCUUGCUUCUGUAAGGGAUGCCUCCGAAUGCUAGGCAAUCCUUAGCUGGUAGCUGGGGGUCUGUGUUAACGAGGCCAAGCCACAUCAAUAAAUUGCUCUAGGUUCAAAAUUUCUUGGAAACAAUGACUUGGAUUCUAACUUAGUUGCCUCCUCUUCUUUUUUACUUCUGACCCAAGAAACAAAUAGUAUGAAGUGUGCAUGCCCUGCCCUAAGGGACGAGGCGGAUCUCCUCUUCAUGUCCCUCAGCUCUCUCAGGUCGUGCCCGAUGCUGGAAAAUCCUGGCCACCAUACGAAGGGAAGCAGAAGCCUGGUCAGGGGUCCCGUGUCAUAACCACUGGGAUCGGGGACACCAGUGCUCAUCCUGUUACAGUGUAACUCAUUUUCUUUUACACCAUAGUCACAUAUUUUUGUGUCCCUUUCCUUCAUGUGAUAGCUUUGUUAUGCCACAUAAAAUACAACUUCUGGGCUGGGUUUGGUGGCUCAUGCCUGUAAUCCCAGCACUUUGGGAGGCCGAGGUGGGGGGAAUCACGAGGUCAGGAGUUCGAGACCAGCCUGACCAACAUGGUGAAACCCCGUCUCUACUAAAAAUACAAAAAUUAGCCAGGUGUGGUGAUGAGUGCCUGUAGUCCCAGCUACUCAGGAGGCUGAAGCAGAAGAAUCACUUGAACCCAGGAGGCGGACGUUGCAGUGAGCCGACAUCAUGCCACUGCACUCCAGCCUGGAAGACAGAGUGAGACUCUGUCUAAAAAAAAAAGAAAGAAAGAAAAUACAACUUCUGGGAGCUGAGGAAAUACAAGGUGGAGGAGGAAUGAGUCCUGGAGCGACACAGCCUUGCAAACCGUCUCUGAUUGACAUUCCGUAACUUUAUCCUUUAUAUGACGUCAAGAGUAAUGCUGAGAAUAGAGUGCAAUCCUCAACACAGUAGGCAGGGGCAGGGUCAAUUAUGCAUUUAUUUUUCACAUUUGCAAAGAUAAUAUUUGUAUUAUAUAAUUAAUAUUUACCAGAGUAAUAAUUAUUAUACUUUCAGGAGAAAUAAAAACAGGAUAACGAUUUUCAUACACUGAUGACAUUUCAGGACCAAAGCACUUUAGUCAAAUUUGUUAGAGGGUCUUUGUAUCUGAAUCAUAAAUUCCAUCACCAAAGGUAAUCGUGGUCAUAAAGGAGGGUCCCGCGUUCGAGCAAAACCGAUGAAGUUUCUAUUGAUUUGAGAUUAUGCCUUACACUAAAAACCAAUAGUAAUUACAUCAAAUGAGCUAAAUUAAUGAAGUUAAUAUUUGCUGUUGGGAGAUUGUUAGAACUCGACCAACCUAGCGAACAUUCUAGCAUUACUAACCACUGCCUGGCAUAAGUAAUUUCUAAAAUUUCAAAGCCCACGUUAGUUAGUGAGGUGCAAUUCUCAACGGCAUUUUGACAUUUUGGUUGUGUUCCAGAAACAUGUGCAUACAUCGUGAGUGUGUGACUGAACAAAAACUAUGGCUCUCCUCUUCAUGUUAUUUUCACAGUUGGUGUAGGUCACAGUAGAUGAAAGUGACGGGAAGUCCAUUUCUAUGAUUUUCUUCUCCAGGCUACGGCAGGCUUUAUGGUGCUGUCUUUCUAGAGCCAUAGCUCAUAUAUUCUCUUUGGCCUGGGAGGGUUUCAUUCAGAUGAACAUGUGGUAGGAUGUUGGCCUUGUGGGACGAAGCCCCCAAAAUCAAUAGAUGAGGUACCUGGAUCUGGCCCUGCCAUGUUCUACCAUUGUGAUUUUGAGAGCCUGUCAACCUCUCCCAGACCCAUUUUCCUCAUUUGUAAAAUGAAAUGAAUAGAUUUUGGUGGUUUUGAGACUUUUGGACUAUGGAAGGCUUUCUUCAGAAAAGAAAAAGAAAUAACACAUUUCCCAAAGCCCAACAUAUACACCAAAUCCCAGUGUGCCUGCCACUCCCCUUGGCUGGAUGCUGGAGGCCUGUUCUCCACGUCUCUCUCCCCUUCACUCUGUAGUUGCUCUUGGGACACAGUUGUAAAACCCACACAAGGUUUCUUGGAAAGACCUGAACUAAACAGUUUCUAAGAUUUCUUCUUUGGCCAGGCACAGUGGCUCACGCCUCUAAUCCCAGCAUUUUAUAAGGCUGAGACGGGAAGAUCACGUGAGGUCAGGAGUUCAAUACAGCCUGGCCAAUGUGGUGAAACCCUGUCUCUACUAAAAAUAUAAAAAUUAGCUACGCAUGGUGGUACAUGCCUGUAAUCCCAGAUUACUCAGAACACUGAGGCAGGAGAAUAGCUUGAUCCCGGAGGUGGAGGUUGCAGUGAGCCGAGAUUGUGCCACUGCACUCCAGCCUGGGCAACAGAGUGAGACUCCCUCUCAAAAAAAAAAAAGACUUCUUCUUCCUCUGACUUUCUUGAUGGACACUUUUCUCACAUGGGAUCCACUAAUGUCACCACCAGGGGAUGGCAGGAAAGGUGGGACAGAAGACCCAAGGGCCAAGGCAGAAGCAAGCAGAAGAGAGUUUCACCCUCAGGAUCGCAGUCAGGAAUCACACCACGCAACAUCGCACCCAGCCAGGGAGAUGCUGGCUGAGUAAAGGCACAUUUAAAGUCCACAGACUCCACACUCAGGGGCCAGGCCAUACGCGCCAGGAGCUCAUGGUGCUUGGAGAGCCUGAGAGCCAUGCACCAUGGGAAGCAUGGAAAGGAUGGAGAGGACAGUGAUGGGGCAGCCGCUCAGGGUUCCACGGGCCUUCCAUUUAUUGUUCUUUGCCAUCCUCACAAUGGGCUUCCUCCUCCUGGUCCAAGAUGCCCUUUGAACAUCCUCUUUGCAGCUGU
rnacentral:lncRNA from 10 species